AGUAUUGGACCCUGUUCUGCUGCUCUUUGUGUCUAUGUGUAUCCUCCUGGGCCUAACGAAUCCUGGCUGCUAACAAGGAACCUUCCUGCUCUGAACACUGGCACACACCAUUCCAUGAUGAUGUGGUGGUAGCAAUGAACCACCAUAUUUAACGCUGCUUUGGUUCAGCCAAGAAAGCUGUGCUUGCAGGAAUGCACACCUUUAUCACAGCCUGUCAUGUCUGGGGUCUGUUGUUUGUGAUGAAAACGAAUGCUCC
ensembl:lncRNA